rnacentral:misc_RNA from 1 species
GAUGAAGAACGUAGCGAAAUGCGAUAAGUAGUGUGAAUUGCAGAAUUCAGUGAAUCAUCGAAUCUUUGAACGCACAUUGCGCCCUUUGGUAUUCCUUAGGGCAUGCCUGUUCGAGCGUCAUUUAAACCUUCAAGCUCAGCUUGGUGAUGGGUGACUGUCCUCCCCUCGCGGGGGGACUCGCCUCAAAAACAUUGGCGGCCGGUACAUUGGCUUCGAGCGCAGCAGAAACGCGGUCUCGAGUCCGGUGGAUCGGCUCCCAUAAGUCUAUUCUUUUAUUUUGACCUCGGAUCAGGUAGGGAUACCCACUGAACUUAAGCAUAUCAAUAAGCGGAGGA